rnacentral:rRNA from 1 species
UACAGAGACUGCAAGCGUUAUUCGGAUUCACUGGGCGUAAAGGGUGCGCAGGCGGCCGUGUGUGUGAGGCGUGAAAGCCCGGGGCUUAACCCCGGAAUUGCACCUCAAACUACAUGGCUAGAGUACUGGAGAGGGUAACGGAAUUCACGGUGUAGCAGUGAAAUGCGUAGAUAUCGUGAGGAACACCAGAGGCGAAGGCGGUUACCUGGACAGUUACUGACGCUCAGGCACGAAAGCGUGGGGAGCAAAAGGG